GGAAGUAUCAUGUUGUCCGUUUCACCAGGAAUGGUGGCAAUGCUACGCUGCAGGUGGAUAACUGGUCGAUCAAUGAACACUUUCCAACAGGGAACAGCGACAUUGAACGCUAUCAAAUGGCCAAUAAGAAAAUUCCUUUCAAAUACUCCCGACCAGUAGAAGAGUGGCUACAAGAGAAAGGGCGGCAGCUAACAAUUUUCAACACUCAAGCAACAGUCGCAAUUGGG